rnacentral:rRNA from 1 species
CAUUCAAAUUUCUGCCCUAUCAACUUUCGAUGGUAAGAUAGAGGCUUACCAUGGUCUUAACGGGUAACGGGGAAUUAGGGUUCUAUUCCGGAGAGGGAGCCUGAGAAACGGCUACCACAUCCAAGGAAGGCAGCAGGCGCGCAAAUUACCCAAUCCCGACACGGGGAGGUAGUGACAAUAAAUACUGAUACGGGGCUCUUUUGGGUCUCGUAAUUGGAAUGAGUACAAUCUAAAUCCCUUAACGAGGAACAAUUGGAGGGCAAGUCUGGUGCCAGCAGCCGCGGUAAUUCCAGCUCCAAUAGCGUAUAUUAAAGUUGUUGCCGUUAAAAAGCUCGUAGUUGAACCUUGGGCCUGGCUGACCUGUCCUCCUAAUCGAGCGCACGGGUUCGGUCGGGCCUUUCCUUCUAGGGAACCCCAUGCCCUUCACUGGGUGUGGUGGGGAACUAGGACUUUUACCUUGAAAAAAUUAGAGUGUUCAAAGCAGGCCUUUGCUCGAAUACAUUAGCAUGGAAUAAUAGAAUAGGACAUCGGUUCUAUUUUGUUGGUUUCUAGGACCGCCGUAAUG